AUGAUCUCGCGAUUGGUGAUCCGCUCGUUCCGCUUCCGCAUAAUCCGCUCCAUGGGACCGCACCCUAAGUCGAUGGUGUUUACAUCAUUAAAAGUUAAUUUGACUUUGUAUUUUUUCUUAGUGAAAAAAUAUAAUUCAAUUUUGAAAUGGGUGGAUACGUUUGUGCUGUAUAUAAUUGUAAGAAUAUUACAGGUACAAAAGGGAUUAGCUUUUUUAGAUUCCCAAAAGACAUAAAAUAGACUUCAACCACACGCAAUUCCAACCAUAAAUGUAUUAGAUAACUCGGAACCUUUAUCAGAAGCCUUACAUGAUAAAUAUAUAGAAACAGAAGAAAACGUCAAUGGAAUAAGUACAUGUGGAAUAUCUGAAACACAUAUAGAAAAUGAAAUGAUUAAUAUUGAUAAUGAAUGUAUAUUUGUAAAAAAUAAAACGCAAGAUAUUAAACGCAGACACAUUGAAAUUGUAAAUAAAGUUAUGGAGGACAAACUAACGCAAACAGAAUUGAAAUUAUCUUAUUGUAGUCCAAGAAAAAAAAAUUAAGAUGUCAAAACAUUUAUCUUCGUAAAAAAAUUAAAAGAUUACAAAGAAAAUUACAAUGUUAUAAAAAUGGAA
rnacentral:misc_RNA from 1 species